rnacentral:rRNA from 1 species
AAGAGCUCGUAGGCGGUUUGUCGCGUCUGUCGUGAAAGUCCGGGGCUUAACCCCGGAUCUGCGGUGGGUACGGGCAGACUAGAGUGCAGUAGGGGAGACUGGAAUUCCUGGUGUAGCGGUGGAAUGCGCAGAUAUCAGGAGGAACACCGAUGGCGAAGGCAGGUCUCUGGGCUGUAACUGACGCUGAGGAGCGAAAGCAUGGGGAGCGAACAGGAUUAGAUACCCUGGUAGUCCAUGCCGUAAACGUUGGGCACUAGGUGUGGGGACCAUUCCACGGUUUCCGCGCCGCAGCUAACGCAUUAAGUGCCCCGCCUGGGGAGUACGGCCGCAAGGCUAAAACUCAAAGGAAUUGACGGGGGCCCGCACAAGCGGCGGAGCAUGCGGAUUAAUUCGAUGCAACGCGAAGAACCUUACCAAGGCUUGACAUGUUCUCGAUCGCCGUAGAGAUACGGUUUCCCCUUUGGGGCGGGAUCACAGGUGGUGCAUGGUUGUCGUCAGCUCGUGUCGUGAGAUGUUGGGUUAAGUCCCGCAACGAGCGCAACCCUCGUUCCAUGUUGCCAGCACGUAAUGGUGGGGACUCAUGGGAGACUGCCGGGGUCAACUCGGAGGAAGGUGGGGACGACGUCAAAUCAUCAUGCCCCUUAUGUCUUGGGCUUCACGCAUGCUACAAUGGCCGGUACAAUGGGUUGCGAUACUGUGAGGUGGAGCUAAUCCCAAAAAGCCGGUCUCAGUUCGGAUUGGGGUCUGCAACUCGACCCCAUGAAGUCGGAGUCGCUAGUAAUCGCAGAU